rnacentral:lncRNA from 1 species
GGUGACCUUCAACUGCCCUCGCCAUGUUUCCAGUGUAUGAAGGUAUAAAUACACCACUUUCAACUGAAACAAUGUAGUCAAGCGCAGCCAUUUGAGAUGCAUGAUUGGUAAAAGGUUCAAGCUCCUCAACGGAUGCCAAUGUUUCCUGAAAGUGCAGACCAAUAUCGGACAAACCAGCAUUACAAAAUAAUCCACAUGUUUAGAUUUUAAACACCCCCACCCAUCUCCAGAAACGACACACAUGCAAAAUGAUUUACAAAAUAACAGUGGAAUUUUUUAUUAACCCCCACCCAUCUUCAUUCAAAUGAAUUAGAGAGAUACAUAGAUGGUUGAUUUGGACUUCCAUGAGUUAUACCAAUCUAUGCUGACACUGUACUCAUUCUCCCACCCUCCCUCACCACUUGGGCUAGCACAAAGGGCUUCACCUGAUCUUUUUUAUUGAAUGACAUUUCCCUUCCUCCACUAAAAAUAAUAAAAUCCAAAUGAAUUAAAAAUACAGCAGCAGAAGAAAGACACCAUUCACUUUCUUCAUCUGGAGCCCAAUAGCACAGAUCCAUCACAGUCAACAAAAGUUAGUUAAGGAGAUUAAUUGAUCCCAUCGGUUUACAGUACUCAUAAUGUAAUGUCCGGACAUUCCUUGUUACAGCAGUCCUACUUUUCCAUCGAUAAUCUUCGUAAAUUUGAAUGUCAUGUUCACUUCAAGUCCAACCACAGGCAUUCCAAAAGUUUUAUCAUAUUCCAUUUGGAGCACAGUUAUUUAGAAAAAUGUAAAUGAUCAAGCAUAAGAAUCAAUUAUACCUUGCUCUUCAGUAUUGGAUAAUGAGAUCGUAGAUCAGCCAUAUGAGAAUCACCCCCAUAUAUCUUUCCAGCAGCAAUGUAUAUAGGUGUGCUUGAUGGGUACCCAAGAGCGCUGAGAAAAAUUCCAACCUCCUUUGGAGUUAAGGGGCAAAACCCUCUGGAUCUUUGUUCUGUGGGAUUAAUUUCUUUAUCUCUCCAGUAUCGGGUGUUCUCUCUGCAUGUUCCAAAUAAAACGUCAGGCAUCACAAAAGCCAGAGGACUAUCCAUAAAAUGAAAGAAGUUCUUGCCACAUAAGCAUUUCAUACCGAAUGAUCCUUAGUUCAUCAGCUUCAGCUGAAGAUAAAUCCUGUGUGCAUCCACUAAAGGCAAGCAUGUCCUUCUCGAAUCGUAAAUGCAGAGCAAUAUAAGAACCAAAGGACCUCAUCCGAUUGACUAACAACUACAACAUUAAUCAAACAGAUUUUUUUUAUAAAGGUUAUGGAAUAAGAAAAAAAGGGUUACAUGGGCAGUGCAGAAACCAAACAAACAUUUAGAUCUGAGUUUUACUUUUCCCAUUGCUUCAAUUUGAGGUGCAAAACGUAGAGCUUCAUAGCAAGCACGACAGCGAAGCCUCUGUAUAUCUAGAGGUAGGUUGUUAUUUGCCAAGCGAGAAUCAGAUUUGGAAGCUCGAAUAACCUUAAGAAAAGAAUAAUGUGUUUAACAAGAUGAUUUACUAAUUAAAAAAGAAUUUAGAAAAGAUCACAUAAACCAGAGUGUCCAGAAACCGUACCUCAUAUUCUUCCCAGAGCCUAGCUAUCUCAUCUUGGUAAUAGUUCAUACCAGACCAGCUUCUAAAAAGUUUAACCGCUCUGGGGCCAGUAGCCAGUUCCUUAGGAAGCUUUUUUAUAAUUUUUAUAUCAUUAGCCAGAGCAUUGAUAAAAUGAUCUUCGUCGAAAACAUUUGAGAAGUUGCUGCAUAAACAAAUGAACCAUAUCCUUGCAACAAUGACGUAACAGCUAAGAAAUGAAAGAAAGAACUACUCAAAAAGUAAAACAAAACCACAGUGCUACCUAGAGUCUUUCCAAAAUGACCGUUGAUCAAGUUCUGGGAUUACAAGAGUGGCAUUUAAUAUGCGGGCUACAGCUACCAUGUCACAUAUCUGCAAUUCAAGGACAACAUAUUUUAGCUCCAUGCAACAGUAAGAUGAUUAUAUUUAUCAAAUAAUGGACAAUUAAUGAUAAAAUUUUCAUAUACAUAGUCAAACCAAACAUUAUAUUGCUUGUGUAUCCACAAUUAUGAAACACAACAAUCAGCUAUGCAGAUAGAUAAAUUAGAGUAAUGUUGUUGGCACAACCAGCACAGAGAAUUAGAGCACCCACGGUGUCAGGGGUUCGAACAGAAAAUAUACAAUGUUGUGAUGAAUCUACAUAUAUUUUUAUAUCAAGAGUGUGUUUACAGACCCCAGCACGCAUCUGGUUGAGCCCACCAUUUGUAUGCACCAGAAGGUAACCCCGUGACUCUGUAGGAGCUGAAUAAACAACAGUAAAAUGUAAAUUAGGAACACCAAAGAUAUGCCAUAGCUACACAAUAAAACUCUAUCAGUAACUUACAUGUAUAAUUGGGACUUGGUUCUACACAUGGCACAAAAUUGAGACCUGGUGGAGGCUUCCAUAGCUUUUUAGUUUCCAAAAUCCCACUUGAAUCGUCCAACUGUCGAGUAUAAGGGAGUGAAAACAUGAAAGAUACAUAACUUUUUCACAUUAACAAACGUAUCUAAAUCUAUAAGGCUCAGACCUAUGUCCUAACUCCUAACUAAAAGGAUAUAGCGCUUCUUUUAUCUUUUUUUUUUCUUUCCUCCAAAUAAAAACACCUCGACCAAAUGUAUCUGUAUUUCCUUUUCAAAAAAAAAAAAAACUGUAUUUGAUAUAUUCAAAUUUCUUCUUUACCUUUGUUAUUUGUCACACUUAUCAGCAAUCAUAUAAGUAUCAGUCGAAUCAAUGAUAUUGAUGUGCACACCUAAUCUCAAAAGCUAUUCGCAAGUUGAGUCAAAGAUCCAGAAAUACAUACAUACUGAAAAAUCCACAGCCUUUAUAUAACUAACAAGCCCAACAGUAAUAUAUAGAAGAACAAAGAAUGGUGAUGAUCAAAAUCUAAAUCCCGCUGAUUGUGGAAAAGGUAAAAACCAACUUUCAAAAAUAUUAAAUUUUCACGAAUGAUUUUGAAAGAUUUUGUUUUUGCCUUCUGUGCACAUGAGAAAAAGAAAGAGAAAACAGAGAGGUGUUGGGUUGGGGGAUCACCGUGGGGAGCUUGACGGGGUCAGAGAAGUUGGGGACCUUCGAGAAAGAGAAAAGAGCCAAUAGCGCUAUUGAGCAUAUGGCGCACGUUAGCACCUUCCUCACUGCCGCCAAAGUUCUCCAGCUCUUCUUCUGCAUCUGGGGAUCUAAAGCUCAGUCAUUCAUUCAGAGCCAUCACCCACAAAUCCAAAUGAAGAGAAUGCGAGUAAAGAUUGCGUCUUUCGGUUGUGGGCUUUUGUGGGUUUGUCCGCUGAGCUGAAGCGGUUCAGCUGAACACGCCCGUUUUAUGUUUGGGUUUUUAAUGUUUUGCUCUGUGCUUUCUGGGUUUUUGCCGCGUUGCUUGUUAGUUUGGUCUGUUUAUUAGCAAUGGCCACAGGCGGAGAGAUAGUAUUGGCAUAAAUAAAUAAAAUUCGAUUCAAGAAUGCUAGAGUAUGUCGCUCAAUGGUGUUUCAGGCAUAUCGUACCUCACAUGUAUCAACCAUUAAAAAUCAAUUACACGUGUCUAAUCUUGAGAUUAUAUUUAACUACAAAUCAUACUUUGAAUGCAUCAACGAUAAGAAAUUACUGAAUUACGGAUCUUAGAAAUGAGAAUGAAAAGAAAAGACAGAAAGAAAUGUAGACAUGUUUUGCGAUGGGCUGCCAAUAAACGAAAAAAAAAAAAAGGAAUGAAAAUGAUAACAGAAAUAACAAAGGAAUUCUUUCACUUUUAUUGCAUCUAGUGACCAUGAAUACAUGAAGAGAGCAUGUUACUUUCGAGACAAACAAUAAACUAUUUUCGUAUCCCCAAUGAAUCAUUUUAUCCAAUUCUUGAAAGUGGAAACCAGGCCAACUUCGCAAAGCACAUGCCUUGGUCAUAAAUGGAAGGCCCUGUCUCCGGCAAUUCAUUCCCUGACCUGCAUACUCUUGCAUUUUGCUCUUCUUCAACACUACGAUAUACCACCACCACCAGCUAUCUAAACUCAGGAUAUACAAACUCCGCGUCCCUAUCCGUACAAUGGCAGCACCAGCUUGUAAAGUUGGAAUAAAUUUCAAAGAAUGAUUAGUGUCACCACACUUCCGGCACAGGAAUCUUUUUCAAGAGGAACAAUCUUGCAAAUAUCUGAGGUGAUUAGAGAGUUGUUUGCAUUGGCAAUUCCUUUUUACACAAACAAUCUGGUAAAGGGUUCACAUAAAAGGGUUCUUCUGAACGAAACCUUUCUGUGCCCCUAGUUCCUGAAAUAGGACCUUUUCUCUUCCGCGGGGAGCCUUGCCUGUGUAACCACAUUGCAGGACCGUUAAUUAUACAAUAAAUUUGAGAAAACUAGAAGUCGUGGAUGUUUUGCAGUUACACAAUAGCCAGAAAUGAUAUAUGUUGGGCUAAAAGUGAUUCUCAUGGAACUUCAAAGCUUUUGGUGAGAAAUUGAGAAAUCACAUACCGUUUCCUGUGCAUUUCAAUAACUCUAUUUGAUAAAUUUUUGCCAUCCUUCAGAGUUCCAUGCUCAAGUUUGUCAAACAGGCGAACAAGUGCUUUCCUGAUGAACACACAAAAGCAUAAAAACAGAUUCAGUUUGCAGCAUUUUAUGACCAUAGAAUGGUAUCGGGAGCAAUUCAACUCUACAUAUAUCCAAAAAUGAAAUCGGCUUGCCUGUCAGGAGAUAUUGUUUUCCUGUGUCCAAGAAAGCGACGAUGGCCUUCAACUGCCCUCGCCAUGUUUCCGGAGUAUGAGGGUAUAAAUACAUCACUUUCAACUGAAACAAUGUAGUCAAGGGCAGCCAUUUG